GUCCCAGAAACAGAGACUGGGGCAGAAGGGGGGGGGAGAGGUAACCACCGGCCUCAAAGAGCGCACAGAUGUUCUGUGCAGGGUUGGCUAGUGACUGUGAAAAGUAGGAAAUGGCUUGGCUUUCUGGCCAUUCAUAACCAUGGUCAGAGAAAUUGCCUAUUGUCAUCACUUGUCUUUUUUCUGGAUCAGUGCACGAUUUCAUGCCACCAGAAUAGCAAGUGUUGUUAUGGCUUUUUCCCUUUUUUAAAAGGAAAACCUUUUUUUUAUUACCAAGGUGUAUCUGACCAUUUCCAAGUUCUUCAAUAUUAAAUUUUGUGUACGAUUAUGGCACUGUUGUGAAAUCCCAGAACAAAACAAUAAAUAGCUGCUUUUGGAAGUACUGCAGAUUUAAGGCUAGAUCUUGAUGGGCUAUGUAGGACUGCACUAACCCUGCACCCUUCCACAUCAGCCCUGACAAGCACCAGGCAUACUUGGGGUCAGGACAGUGCAUUCCCAGUUGGCAGGCAAGAACAGGGGGUCCACAAGGUGUUCCUGGGGGUUGCUGGAGCCCAGCUCUCUGUGUUGGCUGUGGUGAGGAGAAGUGGAGUGUGGUUCCACAACAGCAGGGGUUAGUGCAUGUAAUAAAUAAAAUAGUCACCUGAUCCACCAACCAUUUCAGUUUGGACGCUGGAAUGUAAGACCAGUCAUUUUACAUGAGAAGACAGAUGAUUGCAGAGUAAGCAUAUACAGAAGGUGGAAAAGAGCUUUGUUUUGGCAAUGUUGCCACCAAGAUACACAAAACAUCAGACCUUUCCUAUUUCAAUUACGAAAAAGGUCAAGAAAGGGAAAAUGUCAUUUCUACACAUUUAUCAACAGCAGGAGAAAAAAAAUGGAACUUUCACCAUUAGAACACUAUCUAAUCUGGUUUAUUGUGAGACCUGAGAGAAGACAAGUGUGUUUUAUUAAACCUCUAGCUCUCAUGCACUUCAUCACAUCUGCUUUCUAAAAUAAAAUAAAACAAAACAAAAUAAAUGCAA